UACGAAGGGUGCAAGCGUUAAUCGGAAUUACUGGGCGUAAAGGGUGCGUAGGCGGCUCAGUAAGUCGGGUGUGAAACCCCCAGGCUCAACCUGGGGACGCCACCCGAUACUGCUGUGGCUAGAGUCCAGUAGGGGAGUGUGGAAUUCCCGGUGUAGCGGUGAAAUGCGCAGAUAUCGGGAGGAACACCAGCGGCGAAGGCGGCACUCUGGGCUGGAACUGACGCUGAGGUGCGAAAGCGUGGGGAGCGAACAGG
rnacentral:rRNA from 1 species